rnacentral:misc_RNA from 1 species
GGAUCAUUACUGAGUACUACACUCUCUACCCUUUGUGAACUAUUAUACCUGUUGCUUCGGCGGCGCCCGCAAGGGUGCCCGCCGGUCUCAUCAGAAUCUCUGUUUUCGAACCCGACGAUACUUCUGAGUGUUCUUAGCGAACUGUCAAAACUUUUAACAACGGAUCUCUUGGCUCCAGCAUCGAUGAAGAACGCAGCGAAACGCGAUAUGUAAUGUGAAUUGCAGAAUUCAGUGAAUCAUCGAAUCUUUGAACGCACAUGGCGCCUUCCAGUAUCCUGGGAGGCAUGCCUGUCCGAGCGUCGUUUCAACCCUCGAGCCCCUGUGGCCCGGCGUUGGGGAUCUGCCACGGCAGGCCCCUAAAACCAGUGGCGGACCCGAAGGCCCUCUCCUUUGCGCAGUAGCAUCAGCCUCGCAUUGGGAUCCCUCGGCGUCCUGCCUCUAAACCCCCCACAAGUCCGCUCCGGCGGCACCAAGGUUGACCUCGGAUCAGGUAAAGGUAGGAAUA